rnacentral:rRNA from 1 species
GACAGAGGUGCCAAGCGUUAGGCGGAAUCACUGGGCUUAAAGCGUGUGUAGGCGGAUCGUUAAGUGCCUUGUGAAAUCCCACGGCUUAACCGUGGAACUGCUCGGCAUACUGGCGGUCUUGAGCACCUAGGGGCGAGCGGAACAAAUGGUGGAGCGGUGAAAUGCGUAGAUAUCAUUUGGAACGCCAAUGGUGAAAACAGCUCGCUGGGGGUUUGCUGACGCUGAGACACGAAAGCCAGGGGGAGCGAACGGG